UACGUAGGGUGCAAGCGUUGUCCGGAAUUAUUGGGCGUAAAGAGCUCGUAGGCGGUUCGUCGCGUCGGCUGUGAAAACCCGGAGCUCAACUCCGGGCCUGCAGUCGAUACGGGCGGACUGGAGUGUUGCAGGGGAGACUGGAAUUCCUGGUGUAGCGGUGAAAUGCGCAGAUAUCAGGAGGAACACCGGUGGCGAAGGCGG
rnacentral:rRNA from 1 species